GUGGUGGGAGUGGGCAGAGCCGCGCAGCGGGACGAUGUGGUGCGACGGUCGCCCGGCGGGGUCGGGGGCCGGCGGGGCGGCCGUGACUGUGGUCUUCACCAACGCUCGGGACUGCUUCCUGCACCUGCCGCGGCGCCUCGUGGCCCAGCUGCACCUGCUGCAGAACCAGGCCGUGGAAGUAGCCUGGGGCCGGCAGCCCGUGUUCCUGAGCUGGGUGGAAGGCCGGCGGUUCAGCGAUCCAGGCGAGAGUGUGGCUGAGAUCAGCCGGCAAGUGGGGCGGACACUCGGACUCGCCGACGGCGGACAGUGGUUGGAGUUAGUGAAGCUUAUGAGGAUGCUGCCAAUUGUCUCUGGCUAUUAACCAACUCCAAGCCCUGUGCUAACUGUAAGUCUCCAAUACAGAAGAACGAAGGCUGCAAUCACAUGCAGUGUGCCAAGGAAAAGAUUACAGUUCUGCUUGUGUAGAUCUUCCCUGUGAUGUGUUUCAAACAAUUUGGGAAAACACACUCUCUUCUGGGUCAGUUAUUCAACUCACUGAGACCAGCCCAGGGACACGACCAGCAAGGACUGCUGAAAAUCUCAGGAAAAAAGGAGACGCCUCUCCCCCAAGCGUGAGGCAGCUACUGGGUGCUGGCGUCUUUCUCCUCUGCUAACUCAAGUGCUUCCCGCUUGUCCAGCUCCAGCAGCACGGGAAGGAGGGGGUUUCUCCACAUAUUUCCUGACCCUUGGGCGAGACGAGAGGAGUCUACAAAAUAGAGCAAAAUCUUGGCCUUUCUCUGUGCCCCUGUCUUCCCCUGAUCUGAGACUGCUCUGAGGUAAGCACCAGCGAGGACAGAUUCCCAAAGAUAACUUGUGUGUCCUCUUGAAGUAAACAUCAGAACCACGACUGACUGACAGAGAGGUGAGGUGAGGUGAGGCAGAGAGAGAGGUCUUCCAUCCAGUGGUUCACUCCCCAGCUGGCCACAACGCCAGAGCUGGGCCUAUCAGAAGCCAGGAGCCAAGAGCUUCUUCUGGGUCUCCUACACAGGUGCUGGGGCCCAAGCAUUUGGGCCAUCUUCUGCUUCCCCAUAGCAGAGAGCUGGAUGGGAAGUGGCGCAGCCAGGACUACAACCAGUGCCCAUAUGGGAUGCCAGCACGGCAGGUGGCGGCUUGACCCACUAAGCCACUGUGCCGGCCUCCAUGGCCGAUUUUUAAAAAUUAGAAAAGUCACACAUUUCUGGGAAAAUAGCACCCUCUCUGCCCCAGCAUCUUCCUGGUGUGACCGCUCACGGGGCCUUGCUCGUGCUCAAGGCCAAGGGGGCGCAGGCGCGCGUGCCUUGCUGCGACUUGUGACCGAAGCCGGCCACCACCUUCAUCUGAGCCUGUUUGUCCUGCCGUCAGAUGUCACGCCAGUCUGUCCUCUCCGCUGUGGGUCUUUGGAUCCACUCCUUCAAGUCGGACUGGGAGCCAGAGGAGGAGAGGGUGGCGAGCAGGUGAGCAGGCGCCCUCCCGGGAAGAACCGUUCACUGGCCCCGUCCUGCGUCUCCUUGGGACAGCUCUGGAUUCCCCCCAGAGCAGCCAGACACCCAGGGAAUUCCCAUCCCUGGACUUGGGCGAGCCCAGGGCCUCAGGGAAACGAGAGGCAGGUGGAAGGGAGUCGGGGAUGGGUGCCUGGGGCUCUGCGGCCCUGGGCUGGGCUGGGCGUGAAAUGAGAAAUAAGGAUUCCAUUCAGGUGUAGGAAAUGGCAGCGCCGGGGGCUGGCAAGACCCUGGGGGCCCCCACGGUGGCACAGGGAGGAGCUGGCUGCAAGGAACGGGCCUCUAGGUUCUGUGUGGCCCUAGGGGCACUGGGCGACAGACGAGGGGCAGCUGUGUCGAGGCCUGCGGGCCAGGAUCACCACAGAGAGGCACUGGGGGUCCAGGACCCGGAACCAGCGGCCAACGAGGAGAGCCUAGGCGCGGAGCCCCCAACGACAGCUCUGUGGCCGGGAAAACCUCCUGACUCGAUAUGUGAAUGGGACGAACCCGAGCUCGGACACGACUCCCACUCCGGGUGGGACUUGAGGCAGAAGUAAAAUACAUGGGGUCAGCGCUGUGGUGCAGAGUUAAUGCCCCAGCCUGCAGUCCCGGCAUCCCAUAUCGGCGCUGGCUCGAGUCCCAGCUGCUCCACUUCCAGUCCAGCUCUCUGCUAUGGCCUGGGAAAGCAGUAGAGGAUGGCCCAAGUGCUUAGACCCCUGCCCCCACGUGGGAGACCAGGGGGAAGCUCUCAGCUCCAGCCGUUGCUGCCAUUUAAGGAGUGACCCAGUGGAUGGAAGAUCUCUCCCUCUGAAAUAAAUCAAUCUUUAAAAAAAAAGGAAGAAAA